rnacentral:rRNA from 1 species
GACGGGGGGGGCAAGUGUUCUUCGGAAUGACUGGGCGUAAAGGGCACGUAGGCGGUGAAUCGGGUUGAAAGUUAAAGUCGCCAAAAACUGGUGGAAUGCUCUCGAAACCAAUUCACUUGAGUGAGACAGAGGAGAGUGGAAUUUCGUGUGUAGGGGUGAAAUUCGUAGAUAUUCGGAAGAACACCAGUGGCGAAGGCGGCUCACUGGUCCGGUACUGACGCUGAGGUGCGAAAGCGUGGGGAGCAAACAGG